rnacentral:lncRNA from 1 species
GGACAAGUCUUAUAAAGAUUGUCUAUCAAGCUUCGGAAGUGUCUGAUGAGCUCCAGAAGUGUUCUAAGGGCUGUGCAAAGAUAGGGCCAAGUCCAGGAGGGACUUAGAAGAUGGUUUAGGCACAAAUGGAUGAGUGUGCAAAUAUAGGGCGAGACCGGGACGAGGCCGUACGGACUUGUACGGACCGGGAUCGACCCGAGAAGCAUAACUCACUCAUUUGAGACAUUUUAGGUCUUGUGCAAAAUUAGGGCGUUGGUACGAUCAGGAAAGCAUUCCGUACACACCCUGAUGUUUGUAACAAGACCUAACUUGCGUCCCAAGGAAGAAGCAACUCGUGAGCUAAGUGUGUGAAGAAGCAAAGAGGUGAUUCUGAUCAUAAGGGGCGCCAUUGUCUUUCUCUAAGUCAUGGGACUGUUUGUGGAUAAGUGACAAGCUGUGCAAGCUGUCCAUGAGCUGUGUAUUAACCAUGUAUCUGGACAGAUACAUGGGAACAUUCAGGAGCCUAAAAGGAACCAAUAAGAGGCUGGUCUUUCUGCUUGUGUAUGUGGAUGAUAUCAUCAUAACAGGCAGUGAUAAGGAAGGAAUCAAAGCCACCAAGGAAUUCCUGAAGUCAGUCUUUGAUAUAAAGGACUUGGGAGAGAUGAAGUACUUCUUUGGGAUUGAGUUAUGUAGAUCAAAGGAAGGAUUGUUUAUCUCUCAAAGAAAGUAUGCAUUGGAUCUCUUGAAGGAUGCUGGUGCUUAUGGAGGGAAAAUAGCCAAAAUGCCCAUGGAGGAUGGGUAUAAGAUUCCACGUGAGGGGGAGCUAGAAGAUAGCAAGCUGUUCCAUGAUCCAAAGCUGUAUAGAAAGCUUGUGGGGAAGCUGAUAUACUUAACCAUCACACGGCCAGACAUUUGCUUUGCUGUGAAUCAAGUAAGCCAGCAUAUGCAAGCUCCAAAGGAGCAUCACUGGCGCAUGGUUGAGAGAGUUCUCAUGUACUUGAAUGGAACUCAAGGGCUUGGUAUAUGGAUGGGUUGCAAUGGAAGCACUGAAGUUGUGGGUUAUUGUGAUGCCGAUUGGGCAGGUGAUAGAGCAGAUAGAAGGUCUACAACAGGCUACUGCACAUUCCUUGGAGGAAACAUGAUUACGUGGAAGAGUAAGAAGCAAAAGGUGGUAUCAUGCUCUAGUGCUGAAGCUGAGUAUAGAGCUAUGCUUACGCUCACCAACGAGUUGGUGUGGAUCAAGGGGAUCCUAAAUCAUUUGGAGAUUGAGCAAGCGACACCAAUGACCAUGCAUUGUGACAAUCAAGCGGCCAUUCACAUUGCUACCAACUCAGUGUUUCAUGAGAGAACAAAGCACAUUGAAGUAGACUGCCACAAGGUAAGGCAGAUGAUAGUCUUAGGGGUGAUCUUGCCAUGUUACACAAGGAGUAAAGAUCAGUUGGCAGAUGUAUUCACCAAGGCAGCUAGGCAAAAGAUCAUGGAGUCUAUACACAUCAGGUUAGGACUCAUUGAUCUUUCAUCUAAGGGCUAAUCUACACACUCUCCUGAUCAUGAGGUCUUUACUCUUUUUCCCUCAUCAAAGUUUUGUCCUAAAUGGGUUUUCUUUGGUGAGGUUUUUAAUGAGGGAGAGCUCAUGGUCCUUCCAAGCUUUGACUUGUUCCACAUGGUCAAGCUUGAGGGGGAGUGUUGAGAUAAGCAGAAUAAUAUAUGAGAAGAGGUGUCUUGAGUAUUGGAGAGAAGAUGAGAUGAUGAGGGAAAGAGGAGAAGAAAUGCCGUAGGGCGAUCCGUUCUUACCAGGCCAUACAUGGCCGUACGGUUCAUGCGAAUAGUGGUCGACCUAAACUCGACCUAAGAAGAAAAGAAGUUACCAAGGUAGAAAGGUAAGUCGACCAGAGUUACUGAGAGACUUAACCCUAUCCUAUCUGACCGUUGGAAGAAAGGAGAGAGCAUCUAGACAGGCUGGCUCAGCCUGGAUGGAUAAGGUUCUUCCUUUGGUACAUGUGAAGCUUCUGAUUGGUCCUAGUUUGAAUUAAAGCAACCUUAUCCUUUGACUUUGUUAACUUGAAGAAAAGAAAUGGUGUCAAAGGAGAAGUAUGGAGGAGUUUGGGUCUGGUUCAAAGAUAGGACAAGUCUUAUAAAGAUUGUCUAUCAAGCUUCGGAAGUGUCUGAUGAGCUCCAGAAGUGUUCUAAGGGCUGUGCAAAGAUAGGGCCAAGUCCAGGAGGGACUUAGAAGAUGGUUUAGGCACAAAUGGAUGAGUGUGCAAAUAUAGGGCGAGACCGGGACGAGCCCGUACGGACUUGUACGGACCGGGAUCGACCCAAGAAGCAUAACUCACUCAUUUGAGACAUUUUAGGUCUUGUGCAAAAUUAGGGCGUUGGUACGAUCAGGAAAGCAUUCCGUACACACCCUGAUGUUUGUAACAAGACCUAACUUGCGUCCCAAGGAAGAAGCAACUCGUGAGCUAAGUGUGUGAAGAAGCAAAGAGGUGAUUCUGAUCAUAAGGGGCGCCAUUGUCUUUCUCUAAGUCAUGGGACUGUUUGUGGAUAAGUGACAGGCUGUGCAAGCUGUCCAUGAGCUGUGUAUUGACCAUGUAUCUGGACAGAUACAUGGGAACAUUCAGGAGCCUAAAAGGAGCCAAUAAGAGGCUGGUCUCUACUUGACCAGAUUCAAAUAAACCAAUCAGACAGCAAAGAGAGUUUAACCAAUCAGAUGAAAACCAGACCAACUCCCCAUCUGAUCCAUC